rnacentral:lncRNA from 1 species
AAAUCAAAUGAUCACAUACACCUGAUUCACAUUUGAAAAGAAGAGUACAGUAUAUGGUACUGUGGUAGGAUACCAGGGUACAUGUGGUAGGAAGACUAACAGGACAACCUGGUCUACCCAGUUCAGAAGGCUGGACAUGUCCCACAGUCAGAAUUCUGGAGGAAAGUGGCUCUGGGAAUUGAACAGUGGCUCAGUGAUGUUGGGGCCACCAAGUCUGCAAUUCUCCCGACCUGUUCUUCACGGUUGUAAGAUGACUGCUGCAAUUCUCGGCAUCAUGUGCAUGUUAAUGUCAGGAGGAAGAGAGGAAGAGGGAGCACUGGGAUGUUACACUCAUUUUGUCAGGAAAAGCAAAGCCUUUCCAGACAGCCCCGAAACUUGCUUACCUCUCAUUGGCCAGCACCAUCACUUGACCACUUGUCCACUCCUAGCUGCAAGGAAAGUGGCAAAGUAGAAGGUAUUUGAGAAUGUCUGCUGGGUUAGCCAAAACAAUAGUGACUUCUACACCCAAUUUUCUGGGCACUGCAUAAGUAUCCUUGAUUCCUAUGUGAUCAGAGGGAGAGCAAACCUCAAUAAUGAAACAGAUUCAAUUUCCAUCACCCAGUGAGAUACCAUGGG